AUUUUUAGUCCUGUCCAAAUCACACCAAAAGACUAAGAGCUAUGCCCUUCAAAUUUAAAGGAUUUGGCGGUAAUCUAGUCCAGUUAGAGGAACCUGUUUUUUAAACGAUGAACCACGCAAAAUCUUACCUUCCUUUAAAGCUUGUAUACCGUCAUUAUUAGAUAAUUCUGACAAGAAAAAUUAUUUCAAAAAGGAACCUGCCUUAAUAUAUUAGAUCAAGGUGCAGCCUAUAAGAAGGUUUUUAUGGGUUACAAUAAAACUUACUUAUACGAAUAAAUGAUUUAAAUAUUAUUUUGAAGGAGGAUUUAAUAGUAAAACUGGUUUAGUAAGCCAGUUUGAUAACGGAUCUAAAUUAAGUACAUAUCGCCCGUCGCUUUCAUUCUCAGAUGAAAUAAGUCGUAACAUAG
rnacentral:rRNA from 1 species